GGGGCAUCUGGGCGGGAGAUGCCCCAGCCGCACCCUAGCUCCACAUACCGAGAGGCUCAAAAGCAGAGCGUCGCCUCUCGUGCUCCCCCGCAAAGGGAACGAGAGCCUCAGCGACGCUCUCGGCCGAGGUCUUCGAGGCCCAAACAAGAUUUGAGGGCAGUCAUUGAUGCUAAGAAGGCCUCGGCCAAGAAGCCCUGACGCCAGAGAGCCAGGGCAUCAGAGGGCAGCCUCUGCUGGGGUAGAGCGGUGCACACCGCAUUACACGGUGCCCGUCUCGCCUCAGCGCCCUCUGGGGGCCGGUCUGCCAACCCUGCCAGUGUUCCAGGGCGCAGCGGUCCCCAGCGAGCAUCAUUCUCAGUAUCUUCCGCCCGUGCGCGUAGCGGGGCUGAGACGCUCGCCACCCCUGCGGGGGCCUCUUACACCAGAGGUCAGUCUCGAGAGACUGAUUCCCUUAGUAGAUUAUUUGCCAGCGUGGAAACUACUGCCAAAUGUAUCUCAAUGGGUCCUGCACACGGUAGAGAAAGGCUACUGUAUUCAGUUCGGCUCUGCACCGCCGAUGUUCAACGGGGUUACUCCGACGAUAGUCGGCCCCGAGCAGGGUCUGGUUAUGGAACAAGAAGUGAAAGCCCUAUUAGAGAAGGAGGCCAUCGAGGUGGUCCCUCCUCAAGACAGGGAAUCCGGAUUUUACAGCCGGUAUUUCAUAGUUCCAAAGAAGGAUGGGGGGUUGCGUCCGAUCAUAGACCUGCGGGUCUUAAAUCGAUCAGUUAUGAGACUGAAGUUCAAGAUGCUCACGAUCAAGCAUGUUGUAGCGCAGAUCAGGUCCGAGGACUGGUUUGUCACAAUAGAUCUCAAAGAUGCAUACUUCCACAUAUCCAUCCUUCCACAACACAGGAAGUUUCUGAGGUUUGCUUUUGGGGGCGAAGCUUACCAAUAUCGAGUACUUCCCUUUGGCCUUGCACUCUCACCCCGCACGUUCACGAAAUGUGUAGAUGCGGCUCUGGUCCCCCUGCGCAUGCAGGGCAUCCCCAUUCUCAACUACAUCGACGAUUGGUUGAUUUUAGCUCAGUCAGAGCAGGUUGCGGCUCGGCAUCGAGAUGUCGUUCUCGCACAUAUGGGGGAGCUGGGUUUGAGACUGAACGCCAAGAAGAGUGUACUUUCUCCAGUUCAGAGAACCACCUAUCUAGGCGUAGUAUGGGAUUCGACCGCGAUGCAGGCACGAUUGUCCCCUGCUUGUAUCGAGUCGAUCCUCAUCUCAGUCGAGAGAGUCAAAGAAGGCCAGUCACUCACUGUCAAACAAUUUCAGAGAUUGUUGGGUCUGAUGGCAGCUGCGUCCAACGUGAUACCUUUUGGCCUGCUGUACAUGAGACCCCUACAGUGGUGGCUCAAGACCAAGGGAUUUUCCCCGAGGGGCAAUCCACUUCGAACUAUCAAGGUCAUGCGGCGCUGCCUCCGUGCCUUAGACAUGUGGAAGAAACCUUGGUUCUUGAAUCAGGGCCCAGUGCUGGGAGCUCCUGGUCGCCGUGUAACACUAGCGACGGAUGCUUCCCUCACUGGUUGGGGUGCGGUCAUGAGUGGCCACCCUGCCCGCGGUCUGUGGAGCGGUCGCCAUCUGACAUGGCAUAUCAAUUGUCUAGAAAUGCUAGCAGUUUAUCGUGCACUGAAGCACUUCCUCCCAGACCUAAGGGAUCACCAUGUGUUGGUGCGCACCGACAACACAUCGGUGGUCUCUUACAUCAACCACCAGGGAGGUCUGCGUUCGCGCCCCUUGUACAAGCUGGCGCACCAGAUUCUUGUGUGGUCCCAGGGCAAACUACUCUCACUCAGAGCAGUAUAUAUUCCUGGGAAACUGAAUGUGGGAGCAGACAUACUGUCGAGGCAGGGGCCGAGGCCCGGGGAAUGGAAGCUUCACCCCGAGGUGGUGGAGCAGAUAUGGAGAAUUUUUGGCAGAGCUCAAGUAGACCUCUUUGCAACUCAGGAGACAGCACAAUGUCCCCUUUGGUUCUCUCUAGUUCAUCCAGCUCCCCUGGGACUGGACACUAUGGUACAGACCUGGCCGAGGCUUCGUCUGUACGCAUUUCCCCCUAUUGCUCUGCUCCCGGGAGUUCUGGCGAGAGUACGCCGGGACGGGGUCCGUCUAUUGUUAGUAGCCCCGUUCUGGCCGGGCCGAGUAUGGUUCGCAGAUCUGGUCUCGCUCCUCGACGGCUCUCCUUGGGAGAUACCGAUCAGGGCGGACCUACUCUCACAGGCGCAGGGCACGAUAAUUCACCCUCGCCCGGAGCUGUGGAAGCUGUGGAAGCUGUGGGUGUGGCCCCUGAGGGGGCGCAGUUCAUAGCAUCCGGUCUCUCAACUGAGGUUGUUGAGACCCUCCUCCAAUCCAGAGCUCCCUCAAUGAGGAAACUGUACGCCCUGAGGUGGAAACUCUUCACCUCAUGGUGCAGAGACCGCCAGCUAGACCCAGUAAACUGCCCAGUUGGUACAGUUCUGGGGUUCCUACAGGCCAGGUUCUCUGCAGGGUUGACCCACUCCACGUUGAAGGUCUACGUGGCGGCCAUUGCGGCCUACCACGCCCUUCUCGAUGGUCAGUCUUUGGGAAGACACCCAUUAGUUACACGUUUCCUCCGCGGUGCGCUGAGGCUGAGACCUCCAGUACGGUCCCGUAUUCCCCCGUGGGACUUGGUUGUGGUGCUAGAGGCCUUGUGCAGACCUCCAUUUGAGCCUAUUCAAGAUAUUUCAGACAGACAUCUGACACUCAAAACCGCCUUUCUGUUGGCCAUUACCUCUCUGAGGAGAGUAGUAGAUUUGCAGGCCCUCUCAGUGGCCCCUACAUAUCUGGACUUUGCACCUGGCAUGACCAAAGCGUUCAUAUACCCUCGAGCGGGAUAUGUUCCUAAGGUCCCCUCUGUCACACCACAACCUGUAGUGCUGCAGGCUUUCUGUCCUCCUCCCUUUCGGGAGCCCGACCAAGAGAAGCUAAAUUGUAUGUGUCCAGUUCGAGCACUGGACGCAUACGUCCACAGAGCUGCCCUGUGGAGAAAAACAGACCAAUUGCUUGUAUGCUAUGGUCCCCCCAAGAGGGGUUCUCCUGCUUCUAAGCAGUCUAUUAGUCGUUGGAUAGUCGAGGCUAUCAACGCCACCUAUGAGUCCUCUGGUCGUCCCCCGCUGUUGGGAGCCAAGGCUCACUCCACACGGGGUAUGGCGGCCUCCAAGGCCUUUUUGGCAGGUGUAUCCAUGCUGGACAUCUGCAACGCUGCGGGGUGGUCCACGCCCUUUACAUUUGUAAGAUUUUACGGCUUAGACAUGCCGGUCACUCCAGGCGCAUCCGUCCUCUCGUCCUAAGCUGUGCUCUUCGGAUACACACUAGGCAGGGGUUUGGGAGUCUGGCAGCAUUGGUACUCGUUCCCCAAAGCGUUCGACGCAGCUCGAGUUCCUGAAGAGGAACGUCUCUAGGUUACGUAUGUAACCCUAGUUCCUCGAGGGAACGAGACGCUGCGUCUCGGAGCCAUACCCCCCGGCACCCCUGCCGGCGCUUGCUGGUACUCGAAGCUGAUGCCAGCUGCGCGACAUGUGCUUUUAUAGCUUCCUGGUCGCUUACGUCACCCCGCCCGUGACGUCACGCUCUUCCAUUGGACUGAUUUCACACGAUAUUCAGAGUCGCUCACGCUAGACGCGUUCCCCAAAGCGUUCGACGCAGCGUCUCGUUCCCUCGAGGAACUAGGGUUACAUACGUAACCUAGAGACGUUUAUUAACAUGGCACUUGAUAUUCCAGCUGAAAAUUCCAAGGAUUUUAUGCAGAAAAAAAGCAAAA
ensembl:lncRNA